rnacentral:rRNA from 1 species
GAUGAACGCUGGCGGCGUGCCUAAUACAUGCAAGUCGAGCGAAGCGGGGACGGGUGAGUAAAACGUGGAUAACAUGCUAUAUGACUGGGAUAACUUAGGGAAAACGGAGCUAAACCGGAAACUGAUAGAUGGAUCCACGCUGCAUUAGCUAGUUGGUAAGGUAACGGCUGACCAAGGCAACGAUGCAUAGCCGACCUGAGAGGGUGAUCAGCCACACUGGAACUGAGACACGGUCCAGACUCCUACGGGAGGCAGCAGUAGGGAAUCUGCCGCAAUGGGCGAAAGCCUGACGGAGCCACGCCGCGUGAGUGAUGAAGGUCUUCGGAUCGUAAAACUCUGUUAUUAGGGAAGCGUUACCUAAUCAGAAAGCCACGGCUAACUCCGUGCCAGCAGCCGCGGUAAUAC